rnacentral:rRNA from 1 species
AGCGGCGGACGGGUGAGUAACACGUGGACAAUCUGCCCCCCGGCCCGGGAUAGCCCAGGGAAACCUGGAUUAAUACCGGAUGAGACGGGACCCGCGAUGGCGGGACCCGGGAAAGGCGCUGCGGCGCCGCCGGGGGAUGAGUCUGCGUCCCAUUAGCUAGACGGCGGGGUAACGGCCCACCGUGGCGACGAUGGGUAGCCGGCCUGAGAGGGUGGACGGCCACAUUGGAACUGAGACACGGUCCAGACUCCUACGGGAGGCAGCAGCUAAGAAUCUUCCGCAAUGGGCGAAAGCCUGACGGAGCGACGCCGCGUGAACGAAGAAGGCCGUGAGGUUGUAAAGUUCUUUUCGGGAGGGGGAACAACCGUGGCAGGGAAUGGCCGCGGGAUGACGUGAAUCCCGGAAUAAGCCCCGGCUAACUACGUGCCAGCAGCCGCGGUAACACGUAGGGGGCGAGCGUUGUUCGGAAUCAUUGGGCGUAAAGGGCGUGCAGGCGGUCGUGCAAGUCCGGCGUGAAAGACCCCGGCCCAACCGGGGGGACGCGCUGGAAACUGCAGGGCUUGAGUACAGGAGGGGAUGCCGGAAUUCCAGGUGUAGGGGUGAAAUCUGUAGAUAUCUGGAAGAACACCAAUGGCGAAGGCAGGCAUCUGGCCAUGUACUGACGCUGAGACGCGAAGGUGCGGGGAGCAAACAGGUUUAGAUACCCUGGUAGUCCGCACA